rnacentral:rRNA from 1 species
UGGGGAAUAUUGGACAAUGGGCGCAAGCCUGAUCCAGCCAUGCCGCGUGAGUGAUGAAGGCCUUAGGGUUGUAAAGCUCUUUCGGCCGGGACGAAAUCGCGCGGGCGAAUAUCCCGCGUGGAUGACGGUACCGGAAGAAGAAGCACCGGCUAACUACGUGCCAGCAGCCGCGGUAAUACGUAGGGUGCGAGCGUUAAUCGGAAUUACUGGGCGUAAAGCGUGCGCAGGCGGUUUUGUAAGCCAGAUGUGAAAUCCCCGGGCUUAACCUGGGAACUGCAUUUGGGACUGCAAGGCUUGAGUACGGCAGAGGGGGGUAGAAUUCCUGGUGUAGCAGUGAAAUGCGUAGAUAUCAGGAGGAAUACCGAUGGCGAAGGCAGCCCCCUGGGUCGAUACUGACGCUCAUGCACGAAAGCGUGGGGAGCAAAC